AUAUUCUUAUUCACUUCCGGAUGAGACCAGUCGGGCGCCAUCUUGUCUUGUUCGUGAAGAAGUAGAAGCAUCAAAAGGGUUGGCGAGGUAUUACAGGAACGAUAGCGACAGUGGUGUUCCGGAACCAGAGUGGGGUAUAAAUAUUCUUGCUGCUAUGCUUCCAAGCUGUAGUUUGAAUCAAUCUAAGUUUUAAACAGAAGGUGAACCUCUGAGAUAAAGAAUCAACUAUUUUAAAAGAAAGGAUGUGGGAUCAAGGAGGACAGCCUUGGCAACAGUGGCCCUUGAACCAGCAACAAUGGAUGCAGUCAUUCCAGCACCAACAGGAUCCAAGCCAGAUUGACUGGGCUGCCUUGGCUCAAGCUUGGAUUGCCCAAAGAGAAGCUUCAGGACAGCAAAGCAUGGUGGAACAACCACCAGGAAUGAUGCCAAAUGGCCAAGAUAUGUCUACAAUGGAAUCUGGUCCAAACAAUCAUGGAAAUUUUCAAGGGGAUUCAAACUUUAACAGAAUGUGGCAACCAGAAUGGGGAAUGCACCAGCAACCCCCACACCCCCCUCCAGAUCAGCCAUGGAUGCCACCAACACCAGGCCCAAUGGACAUUGUUCCUCCUUCCGAAGACAGCAACAGUCAGGACAGUGGGGAAUUUGCCCCUGACAACAGGCAUAUAUUUAACCAGAACAAUCACAACUUUGGUGGACCACCCGAUAAUUUUGCAGUGGGGCCAGUGAACCAGUUUGACUAUCAGCAUGGGGCUGCUUUUGGUCCACCGCAAGGUGGAUUUCAUCCUCCCUAUUGGCAACCAGGACCUCCAGGACCUCCAGCACCUCCCCAGAAUCGAAGAGAAAGACCGUCAUCAUUCAGGGAUCGGCAGCGUUCACCUAUUGCACUUCCUGUGAAACAGGAGCCUCCACAAAUUGAUGCAGUAAAACGCAGAACUCUUCCAGCUUGGAUUCGGGAAGGUCUUGAAAAAAUGGAACGUGAAAAGCAGAAGAAGUUGGAGAAAGAAAGAAUGGAACAGCAACGUUCACAACUGUCCAAAAAAGAAAAGAAGACCACAGAAGACGCUGAAGGAGGAGAUGGGCCUCGUUUACCUCAGAGAAGUAAAUUUGAUAGUGAUGAGGAAGAUGAAGAUGCUGAAAACCUUGAAGCUACAAGCAGUGGAAAAGUCACAAGAAGUCCAUCUCCAAUUCCUCAAGAAGAGCAGAGUGAACCAGAGAUGACUGAAGAAGAGAAAGAAUAUCAAAUGAUGUUAUUGACAAAAAUGCUUCUGACUGAAAUUCUAUUGGAUGUCACAGAUGAAGAAAUUUAUUACAUAGCCAAAGAUGCACACCGAAAAGCAACGAAAGCUCCUGCAAAACAGCUGGCACAGUCCAGUGCACUGGCUUCCCUCACUGGACUCGGUGGACUGGGUGGUUAUGGAUCAGGAGACAGUGAAGAUGAGAGAAGCGACAGAGGCUCUGAGUCAUCUGACACUGAUGAUGAAGAAUUACGGCACCGAAUCCGGCAAAAACAGGAAGCUUUUUGGAGAAAAGAAAAAGAACAACAGCUGUUACAUGACAAACAGAUGGAAGAAGAAAAGCAACAAACAGAAAGAGUUACAAAAGAGAUGAAUGAAUUUAUCCACAAAGAGCAAAAUAGUUUAUCACUACUAGAAGCAAGAGAAGCAGAUGGUGAUGUGGUUAAUGAAAAGAAAAGAACUCCAAAUGAGACUACAUCAGUUUUAGAACCAAAAAAAGAGCAUAAAGAAAAAGAAAAACAGGGAAGAAGUAGAUCAGGAAGUUCUAGUAGUGGUAGUUCAAGUAGCAAUAGCAGAACUAGUAGUACUAGUAGUACUAUGUCUAGCUCUUCAUACAGUUCUAGCUCAGGUAGUAGUCGGACUUCUUCUAGGUCUUCUUCUCCUAAAAGGAAAAAGAGACAUAGUAGGAGUAGAUCUCCAGCAAUGAAAGCUAGACGUAGCAGGAGUAGAAGCUACUCUCACAGAAUUAAAAUAGAGAGCAAUAGGGCUAGGGUAAAGAUUAGAGAUAGGAGGAGAUCUCAUAGAAAUAGCAUGGAAAGAGAAAGACGACGCAAUCGGAGUCCUUCCCGAGAGAGACGUAGAAGUAGAAGUCGCUCAAGGGAUAGACGAACCAAUCGUUCCAGUCGCAGUAGGAGUCGAGAUAGGCGUAAAACUGAUGAUCAACGUGGAAAUCUUAGUGGAAGCAGUCAGAAGCACAAAGGUGAGGCUAAAGAACAAGAGAGGAAAAAGGAGAGGAGUCGAAGUGUAGAUAAAGACAGAAAAAAGAAAGACAAAGAAAGGGAGCGUGAACAGGAUAAAAGAAAAGAGAAACAAAAAAGGGAAGAAAAAGAUUUUAAGUUCAGUAGUCAGGAUGAUAGGUUAAAAAGGAAACGAGAAAGUGAAAGAACAUUCUCCAGGAGUGGUUCUAUAUCUGUUAAAAUCAUAAGACAUGAUUCUAGACAGGAUAGUAAGAAAAGUACCACCAAAGAUAGUAAAAAACAUUCAGGCUCUGAGUCUAGUGGAAGGAGCAGUUCUGAAUCUCCAGGAAGUAGCAAAGAAAAGAAGGCUAAGAAGCCUAAACAUAGUCGAUCGCGAUCCAUGGAGAAAUCUCAAAGGUCUGGUAAGAAGGCAAGCCGCAAACACAAGUCUAAGUCCCGAUCAAGAUCAACCACCCCUCCCCGUCGUAAGCGCUGAGGAAUGAUGUGGCAAGAUUGCCAUGAUGUUGUUUUAAAAAUUCCAUGAGUUUUAAGGGCUUGUCUCAUUAUAGAGGCACAUUGUGGCUGUAACUUUUGCUUUGAUUGGGAGAGAUGUUCUUGUAUCUAAAGAGAGGAGCUCUGAAGAGGACAUAGCAACUGAAAAGUCUGCAGUCAUUCUUGGGAGGUCAAUAUUUUAGCUAAGGAGCCAUGAGUGAAACACUAUUUCUGAGUAGUAAAGUUCACUAAUUCGAAGAACUCUGCACCGAUUUGAUCCUGCCUGUUGAAAAUGUAGAAUUAUUUUUUUGCCUUUUAAUGUUGGAAACAUCCUUGUUCUUCCUGAAGGAAAGGAUUUUUAUAUAUUUAGAUACAAGGUUACUGAUCAAUAUUCAAGCGCUAAAUGAAGUUUGCAUAGAGUGUUAACAGUUGCAUACUAUAAU